AAUGAACGCUGGCGGCAUGCCUUACACAUGCAAGUCGAACGGCAGCAUGACCUAGCUUGCUAGGUUGAUGGCGAGUGGCGAACGGGUGAGUAAUGCAUCGGAACGUGCCUUUUAGUGGGGGAUAACGUAGCGAAAGUUACGCUAAUACCGCAUAUUCUCUGAGGAGGAAAGCAGGGGACCUUCGGGCCUUGCGCUAGAAGAGCGGCCGAUGUCGGAUUAGCUAGUUGGUGAGGUAAAGGCUCACCAAGGCACCGAUCCGUAGCGGGUCUGAGAGGAUGAACCGCCCCCCUGGGGCUGGGCACCGCCCCAGCCCCCCACGGGGGGCAGAGGGGGGGAAUUUUGGCAAAGGGGCGAAAGCCUAUUCCAGCCAUGCCGCGUGGGUAAAGAAGGCCUUCGGUUUUUAAAGCUCUUUCGGCUGGGAAAAAAUCGCCCCCUUUAAUACAGGGUUGGGAUGACGGUACCAGCAAAAAAACCACCGGCAAACUCCGU
rnacentral:rRNA from 1 species